rnacentral:rRNA from 1 species
CCUACGGGCGGCUGCAGUGGGGAAUCUUCCACAAUGGGGGCAACCCUGAUGGAGCAACGCCGCGUGCAGGAUGAAGGCCUUCGGGUUGUAAACUGCUUUUAUAAGUGAGGAAUAUGACGGUAACUUAUGAAUAAGGAUCGGCUAACUACGUGCCAGCAGCCGCGGUCAUACGUAGGAUCCGAGCAUUAUCCGGAGUGACUGGGCGUAAAGAGUUGCGUAGGCGGUUAGUUAAGUGAAUAGUGAAACCUGGUGGCUCAACCAUACAGACUAUUAUUCAAACUGGCUAACUCGAGAAUGGUAGAGGUAACUGGAAUUUCUCAAGUAGGGGUAAUAUCCGUAGAUAUGAGAAGGAACACCAAUGGCGUAGGCAGGUUACUGGACCAUUUCUGACGCUAAGGCACGAAAGCGUGGGGAGCGAACCGGCUUAGAUACCCCAGUAGUC